rnacentral:rRNA from 1 species
GCCAGCCCGCUCAGAAACUCAAAGGAAUUGACGGGGCCCGCACAAGCGGUGGAGCAUGUGGUUAAUUCGAAGCAACGCGAAGAACCUUACCAGGCCUUGACAUGCAGAGAACUUUCCAGAGAUGGAUUGGUGCCUUCGGGAACUCUGACACAGGUGCUGCAUGGCUGUCGUCAGCUCGUGUCGUGAGAUGUUGGGUUAAGUCCCGUAACGAGCGCAACCCUUGUCCUUAGUUGCCAGCAGUUCGGCUGGGCACUCUAAAGGGACUGCCGGUGUUAAACCGGAGGAAGGUGGGGAUGACGUCAAGUCCUCAUGGCCUUUAUGACCAGGGCUACACACGUACUACAAUGGCCGAUACAAAGGGCAGCGACACUGCGAGGUGAAGCCAAUCCCGUAAAAUCGGUCUCAGUCCGGAUUGGAGUCUGCAACUCGACUCCAUGAAGUUGGAAUCGCUAGUAAUCGUGGAUCAGCAUGCCACGGUGAAUACGUUCCCGGGCCUU